AUUGAACGCUGGCGGCAGGCCUAACACAUGCAAGUCGAACGAGUGGCGGACGGGGGAGUAAUGUCUGGGAAACUGCCCGAUGGAGGGGGAUAACUACUGGAAACGGUAGCUAAUACCGCAUACCAUCGGAUGUGCCCAGAUGGGAUUAGCUAGUGGUGGGGGUAACGGCCCACCUAGGCGACGAUCCCUAUCGGGUCUGAGAGGAUGACCAGCCACACUGGGACUGAGACACGGUCCAGACUCCUACGGGAGGCAGCAGGGGGGAAUAUUGCACAAUGGGGGCAAGCCUGAGGCAGCCAUGCCGCGUGUAUGAAGAAGGCCUUCGGGUUGUAAAGUGCUUUCGGCGGGGAGGCGUUACUCGCAGAAGAAGCACCGGCUAACUCCGUGCCAGCAGCCGCGGUAAUUC
rnacentral:rRNA from 1 species